rnacentral:rRNA from 1 species
UACAGAGGGUGCAAGCGUUAAUCGGAAUUACUGGGCGUAAAGCGUGCGCAGGCGGUUUUGUUAGCCAGAUGUGAAAUCCCCGGGCUUAACCUGGGAAUGGCAUUUGGGACUGCAAGGCUCGAGUGCGGCAGAGGAGACUGGAAUUCCUGGUGUAGCAGUGAAAUGCGUAGAUAUCAGGAGGAACACCGAUGGCGAAGGCAGGUCUCUGGGCUGACACUGACGCUCAUGCACGAAAGCGUGGGGAGCAAACAGG